GUUGGGAACAGUCGUGAUGUUGCGUCCUGGGAGGAAGGAUCUGUGGUAACGCUCCUUUAUGCACCAAGAAUGCACCUCCCACCACCUGCUGGACCUUCACAAUAAGAGCCCAGAACCUCCAGGUGAGCGCAGCAGCAGGAAGUGGGGAGACGGGACAGGAGCAGGAUGAGAGAGGAACACUGAGAUCACUGAGCCGCACUGAAGCAGCCAUGGGGUCUUCAUCCACAGCAGGAGGAAGAGGAGGAGCAGAUCAAACCCAUCAGGGUUUAUUAUUAAAGCUGAAUAAAUGUGACAUAAAGAAGCAGGAAGGUCCUCCCACCUGCAGGGGGCAGUAAGCAUCAAUCUGUCCAAAACAGAAAACGUCCAUUAAGCUAAAGUUUCUAACACUAAUCCGGAAACUUUCCAAGUUUUCCCAAAGAUCCCAGAGCGAGUCGUCCCAGUUUUCUCUCCUCCUGGGAAAACGUUACUGUCCUAUUUAAAGAUUUAAUCUUCCAGAUUAGUCUAAUUUCUGGAGAUCCAGUUCACCCAGUCACAGGAAAAGAUGGUGGAUGAUCUUUGGGAUAUUUCCACACAGGAGCUGGGAAUCUUUUCAGAGCAAAGGUUUAGAUUCCCAAACCGGAUUGAUGUGUGAACACAAAACAAACUGGGAUCAGAAAACUGGUUUAAAUCUCAGAUUCUUUCAUUAAUUUAGCUCCAGAUUCAGAAUUCAUGAUUCAGAUUCUUCACGCUAAAGGAUUUAAACUCAACAGAUUCCCAGAUGUUUUCCUCAGAGGACGGCGAUGAAGAGGAGGAGGAGGAAGAGUGUUUGUGGAGGGACAGUCAGACGGUCAGACACUGUAAUUAGACCGAGCCGCUGCAGACAGGAGGAAGAGGAGGAGGAAGAGGAAGGUUCAGUUCUGGUUUCCAUUCAGCCUGAACUCCAAAACGCUCCAAUUAAACCAGUUAAACCAGUAAAAACCAAAACAAACCAGCAGGAACCAGAAAACAUUUCUGCUUUCAACCAGGGACCAGUCUGAGCCGCCCAUUAAAACCAGUAAAACCAGUAAGCAGUCUGACCCGACCAUUAAAACCAGUGACACAUGAAGCCG